rnacentral:tRNA from 1 species
UAUAUAAAGGUGUAAGAAGCAUAUUGGAUUUUGAUUCCAAAGGGGUAGGUUUGAUUCUUACUUAUAUAA